rnacentral:lncRNA from 1 species
GCCUAACUUGCUGUCUCAUUGGCCAAGCAAGUACUUUAUUUAACAAUCAAUAAGAUAAACAUACAAAGAAGUAUUUCCCCCAUCAAAGGUCUAUUUCAAACUAACAAAAUAUUUAUACCACUCAGUCCAUCCUGUAAGCCGUUUACAAAGCUUUUUAUAACAGAGAGAUAGGCCAGCUGCUGGCUCAACCCCAUUUCCUCCAAAAAGACUGAUGGGCACUGAAGAAACUUCAUCUCGAAUCAGUGACAACACUAGUCACUGAACAGCCCUGCCCUUCACCUCACCUUCUACAAGGUACUCCAGACCGUGGACAAGAUGACAGUGGAAUCGACUUUCCCCGUGUUGCUUGGGCCAAUGGUAGAGCCUUCACCCAGUAGCUGAUCAAAGCAGAAACAGGAACCCACAGCUAAACACUGAGCCAUAUUCCUGGAAUCCAGUUACAGAGAGGGAGGAGUGCAAAGGAGCCAAGAAGUUGCUGGAGAUACCAGAAGAAACAGUUGACCUGACCUAGUAAGAGCAAGGAGACCCUAUUUGUAAAGCUGGAGAACCAGCAUUGGACAGAACCAAACCUCUGAAUGUGGGUGCCAGCUAGGAGACCAAGGCAGUCUAUGGGACCUCUAACAGUGGAGCCCUUGUUUAUCCCUCGAGCACAAAUGAACUUUGGGAGCUUUUCCCUAUGGAGGGAUUCUAUUGCAACCAAGAUACAGGAAGGAGGGCCUGGGACCUCCCACAAAUGAUGUGAAGGAGUUUGAUGGUCCCCAUGGAGGGUCUCACUGUCUCUGGGGAGUGGGUGGGGGUCAUUGGGGAGCAUGGGAG